rnacentral:rRNA from 1 species
AUUGAACGCUGGCGGCAGGCCUAACACAUGCAAGUCGAGCGGAUGAAGGGAGCUUGCUCCUGGAUUCAGCGGCGGACGGGUGAGUAAUGCCUAUGAAUCUGCCUGGUAGUGGGGGAUAACGUCCGGAAACGGGCGCUAAUACCGCAUACGUCCUGAGGGAGAAAGUGGGGGAUCUUCGGACCUCACGCUAUCAGAUGAGCCUAGGUCGGAUUAGCUAGUUGGUGGGGUAAAGGCCUACCAAGGCGACGAUCCGUAACUGGUCUGAGAGGAUGAUAAGUCACACUGGAACUGAGACACGGUCCAGACUCCUACGGGAGGCAGCAGUGGGGAAUAUUGGACAAUGGGCGAAAGCCUGAUCCAGCCAUGCCGCGUGUGUGAAGAAGGUCUUCGGAUUGUAAAGCACUUUAAGUUGGGAGGAAGGGCAGUAAGUUAAUACCUUGCUGUUUUGACGUUACCAACAGAAUAAGCACCGGCUAACUUCGUG